rnacentral:rRNA from 1 species
AGCGAACGCUGGCGGUAGGCCUAACACAUGCAAGUCGAACGGCAGCACAGUAAGAGCUUGCUCUUACGGGUGGCGAGUGGCGGACGGGUGAGGAAUACAUCGGAAUCUACUUUUUCGUGGGGGAUAACGUAGGGAAACUUACGCUAAUACCGCAUACGACCUACGGGUGAAAGCAGGGGAUCUUCGGACCUUGCGCGAUUGAAUGAGCCGAUGUCGGAUUAGCUAGUUGGCGGGGUAAAGGCCCACCAAGGCGACGAUCCGUAGCUGGUCUGAGAGGAUGUUCAGCCACACUGGAACUGGGACACGGUCCAGACUCCUACGGGAGGCAGCAGUGGGGAAUAUUGGACAAUGGGCGCAAGCCUGAUCCAGCCAUACCGCGUAGGUGAAGAAGGCCUUCGGGUUGUAAAGCCCUUUUGUUGGGAAAGAAAAGCAGCAGGUUAAUACCCCGCUGUUCUGACGGUACCCAAAGAAUAAGCACCGGCUAACUUCGUG